rnacentral:rRNA from 1 species
UACGGAGGUGGCAAGCGUUGUUCGGAAUUACUGGGCGUAAAGGGCGCGUAGGCGGCGAGGCAGGUCGGAUGUGAGAUCCCCGGGCUUAACCUGGGAAUUGCAUCCGAAACUGCUUUGCUUGAGUCCUGGAUGGGGUAGUGGAAUUCCCAGUGUAGCGGUGAAAUGCGUAGAUAUUGGGAGGAACACCGGUGGCGAAGGCGGCUACCUGGACAGUGACUGACGCCGAUGCGCGAAAGCUAGGGGAG